rnacentral:rRNA from 1 species
AGUGAACGCUGGCGGUAGGCCUAACACAUGCAAGUCGAACGGCAGCACAGUAAGAGCUUGCUCUUACGGGUGGCGAGUGGCGGACGGGUGAGGAAUACAUCGGAAUCUACUUUUUCGUGGGGGAUAACGUAGGGAAACUUACGCUAAUACCGCAUACGACCUACGGGUGAAAGCAGGGGAUCUUCGGACCUUGCGCGAUUGAAUGAGCCGAUGUCGGAUUAGCUAGUUGGCGGGGUAAAGGCCCACCAAGGCGACGAUCCGUAGCUGGUCUGAGAGGAUGAUCAGCCACACUGGAACUGAGACACGGUCCAGACUCCUACGGGAGGCAGCAGUAGGGAAUAUUGCACAAUGGGCGAAAGCCUGAUCCAGCCAUACCGCGUGAGUGAAGAAGGCCUUCGGGUUGUAAAGCCCUUUUGUUAGGGAAGAAAAGCAGCAGGUUAAUACCCCGCUGUUCUGACGGUACCCAAAGAAUAAGCACCGGCUAACUUCGUG